UAGGUGAUUGUCCGUGUUUGCUCACCAGCUUAAAUGUUUGAGUUGAACUGAUCGAUACAUGUGGCAACUUUAGUAUAAUAUCUAACCGAGCUAAUGAUAUGCAUGUGUAAUGUGCAGUGUUCAAGUAUUCUCCAGCGGCGCAUGAUGUGGUGGAGGUGAACAAGGCCGACUACGACUCAUGCUCCAGCUCCAGCCCUAUCGCCACCUUCAACUCCGGCGAUGACACCAUCCCUCUCACCGCUACCGGCACCCGCUACUUCAUAUGUGGCUUCAAUGGCCAUUGCACCGGAGGGAUGAAGGUCGCUGUCAAGGUUGAGGCCGCCACCGGCAGCAACCCGGCCCCAUCACCGAUGACCCCUCGUCCACGCACACCGACAGCAAUGGCACCGAACGCAAUGCCGCCAACGGCUGGUGGCCGGCCCGUGCCUCCAUCUAACUCAGCAAGCCAGCCCGCUGGUGUUGCAUCUCUAGUUGGUCUUAGUUUGGGUGCCAUAGUUGUUGGUCUCAUGGCCUUCUAAAUUAGAGUAAGAAGAUACUUUGUGUAUCUCUUCGAAGGCGAUCGAUUGAUUGUGUUCGUAUAUAUUGAUUGCUUUGAGUAUUUUCUCUGGUAGAGUCCGGCUCAUAUUGUUAUUUAUAUGUAAUAUAUUUUUUGUUAUAUGUAAUUCAUCAGCUCAUUAAUUAUGAUUUGAUUCUAUUGUUAUAUAUGUGUUUUGGCCCAUCAUGACUAGCGUUUGACUUCAAUUUUGUCAUUUCACCUAAAACUUUCCUUAAUCCAUUGAAAUUAAACAAAAGGGGGGGGACAAUUCCAUCUCAAAAGCCUGUGGCAUAAAUAUCUAUAACCCUAUUGUAGCUAGAUAGAAACAAAUCAAUAGGAAUUAAACAACACAACAACAUAGAAACCGUAGACCAUACCUAAAGCUUUACCUUCUAGAACAUGUAAAUAAAUAGUACUAACAUAAAUGAAUUAUUUUAAUAAUAUCUUGACAAUCAAUAUGUACAUAUAUCCAGUUGUCCACCCUAAUCCCAGUGCUCCAUCUUUUCCGCCCCCAUCAAACAAGAAAUUUCAGAUUAUGCUAUCAUCAAAAGUGAGUUACACUAUAAUGCCAUCCUUCAAUUGAGUUUCACCAAAACACUAUUAUCAAAUAGAGGAUUCAUGCCAGAUUCAUCUUCUUCCCUUUUACAGAUUUGUUGUCUCUCUUGCAGGUGAAGGGACCAAGAUACCCCUGUAUCGGUUGAGCUAUAUAUAGAGAGGGGGUAUCCAAACCAUGAAGAUAUCCCUCAAACUCCCGCACUAGUGUUGCCUCUUCCAACACCUACCUCUCCACUACCCUCGAUUAAUUCAACUUAGCAACCUCUAAGCAAAAUAUCUCUAACCUAGCCACCUAGUCGAUGCAACAUUCAUUUCAUAGUUCUAAUCCAACCAUCAUUGGUCAAACAAAUCAACCACUUUGUUGGGGUUUCUACUUUAUUUUUAAAGAGACAUGUAUAUAUAGUGGUGUCGAGUAAUAGUUGCAUAACCACACCAACAAGAUUAUCCACAUAUACAUAAUCAAGUGAAAUAUGUUUUUCCCUAAAGGUAGGGGUGUGGAAGGACCCUUUUUUUGCAAAAGAAGUUUAUUGAAGGAUCAAUAAAAUAUUUUGCGAAUUGAGGAAUUCAACCGCCUACAAUAUCCUAAGGAAAAAAAUUAGACCACCCAUGUUUUGUUGAUGACGUGGAUGUAGUAGUAGCUUUGUGGGAAAGUAUUAAUUAAUCAGCUUUCUCUAUAUCAAAUAUUAUAUGGAUUUAUCCAUCCUUUGUGUUACAAAGGGAUGCAUGGACAUGUCAGAAUUGUGUAUGUAGUAUACAUGCAUGAUGGAAUUGUGCAUGUAGUAUAAUGGUGCGAAAAUCGUAAUUGGAUAUCGGUGCCCUCCGCCUUUCUUUUCAUUUUUUCACCACAUAACUUUCCUUUUUAAGUAAGUUUGUACAACUAAACUUUAUACUCUUAAAGUUUAUACACCCAAUGUUUGUACACCUAAAGUUUGUAUACCCAAAGUUUAUACAUUGAAAAUUUAUAUGUCCGAUUCGAAUUUGAAUUUGGAUUCAGAUUCAAAUAUUAUAUAGAUAGAAUGAUGCUAUAUAAAAAGUUUCUACACAUAAUGUAUAAAGUUUAUACACAUCAAUAUUGUUAAACAUAAUUAUUGUCCCUUUGUAUUUUUGUUUUAUCCAAACGUAUUUUUAAAUUUGUUUUUAGAAACCCACAUGGUCUAAGUUGGGCCCAUGCAUGUUUUCUGAAAUAGAUAAAAGUAGAGACAUGAGGAGAUUUGACAAAGUCAGUUCUCACAACACUUUAAUUACUAUAUUUUGUCAAGUUCUGUAUUUGAAGUUUGAACACGUAUGUAGCAUUUUUCUUUUUGUUGACGGAAGUGCUUUCCGAAUAAAGCUCAUAUUUGCAUAACUAAUCAUAUAUCCAUGCUUGAAUGGUUAAUUUGAUAUAUGUGCAGAAUGCGUAUACGUGGGAACCAAUGGCAUGGAAAAGUCUUUAGGCCUAGUCUAGAUCCUCUAAAAUGGCAAAAGUUUUGCCAUUUUGUAGCACUUUUUGCCAUUUUAGAUCUAAACACUAGUAGCAAAAGUUGUCAAUUUGGCAUUUAUCAUUUGCUAGUCCAUAGUAGCAUAUUGUGCCAAAAAGUGCUUUGGGACCACUCCCUCUCUCUUUCUCUCUCUCACUUUAGUGCUAGAAUGGCAAAACUUUAACACGCAUCUAAACACCAACUAGUACUUUUGCAAUGCCAAAACUUUUACCACCAAAACUUUUGCCAUUUGCCAUUUGCCAUUUGCCAUUCCAAAUAGAUCUAAACAUGCCCUUAGUUCUGAUAUUUUCCACUAACAACUAAUUUAAUUUGAACCGACGCUUGAACAGGCUACUAGUCUAUUGCGAUUUAAUUUGAAAUUUGAAAGCAUGAGCCAAGUCAUCAUCGCGUGAAUUCAACACACCAGCUCGCGUGUGUAUAUGUGAUUUUUUCACCCAACUAACCGAUUUAGAUCUUGGUCAAGCUUAAUUUCUAGAAAUUUGGCUUUUAGAUAAUAAUAAAAUACAUCAAACACCAGGGCCCCCAUCUGAUGUGCAAAUUAAUUUCAUGGUAUAUAUACUUAUAUUACUGCAUCUUUUUAAACAUAUGAUGUUAUUAUUUACUUUUAUAUAUAUGACGUUUGACAAUCCUCUUAAUAAAAUUAAUUAUAGUAUUGUUUAGUUUAUUGUGUUUUGUGUUAUCCUUAAAGACAAUUCAAGGAUAUAUAACUUAUAUUUUAUAUAUUUAAAUUAAAUUUUUAAAUAAAAUGAAUGGUUAGAUAUCGUAUCCAAAUUAAAGUAAAAAUAGUUACAUAUUAAAAAACAAAAGGAAUAAAAUUUAGUCGCCAAAUCGAACAACCCCCACCCACCACCCACGAAUUCUUGCACUACACAUCAGAUGAUGAUUAUAUGUAUUACGUACACAAAUUCAAUUAGAUAACUAAUUUCAGACUCUGUCAAUUUGAUAGUUUCAAUCAGGUGAUCAUUAAAUUAAUUCAGACUCGGUCGAGCAGCAGCAGUCGAUCACGACUUUUCUCACGUGCACCUAUCAUUAAUUAAUUAUACAUUUUCCUAUAUAUACGCGCGUGUCAGUGUGAGCGGAUCGAGUCAUACACAUUUGACCAACCAAAGCCUUAGACUGACCUCACUUAACGCGCUUAGCUUACACCUAAUUAACUAACAAGCACCUAUAUAUACACCUCCUAUCAUACCUCCUCCCCAAAUCAACCAAGUUCCAUUUCAUUUCUUGCAUCUCCAAUUAUACUCUUGCUUCCAAUUUCAACCUCUCUUCCCAACCAUGGCAGCCAGAGCUCUCCUCGUUGUGGCCAUGGCGGCCGCGGUGCUCGGGACAGCGAUGGGCGUCACCACCUACACGGUGGGAGCUCCGGCCGGUUCAUGGGACACACGAACCAACUACGCGCAGUGGGUCUCUGCUAUCACCUUCCGUGUCGGUGACCAGCUUGUCUUCAAGUACUCCCCAGCGGCGCACGAUGUGGUGGAGGUGAACAAGGCCGACUACGACUCCUGCUCUAGCUCCAGCCCCAUCUCCACCUUCAACUCUGGCGAUGACACCAUCCCUCUCGCUGCUAUCGGCACCCGCUAUUUCAUCUGCGGCUUCCCUGGCCAUUGCACCGCAGGGAUGAAGGUCGCCGUCAAGGUGGAGGCCGCCACCGGCAGCAACCCUACCCCGUCACCAUUGGCCCCUCUUCCACGCACUCCUACAGUAAUGGCACCAAAUGCGAUGCCCCCUACGAACGGUGGCCGGCCCACCCCUCCGUCAAGCUCAGCAAGCAAGCCUGUUGGUGUUGCAUCUCUGGUUGGUCUGAGUUUGAGUGCAAUCGUUGCUGGUCUCAUGGUCUUUUAAAUUAGAGGGAAAAAAUAUUUUUUUUCUCUCUUCAAAGUUGAUCUAUUGAUCGUGUUCAUAUGUAUUGAUUGUUUGUGAUGAGUUCGGCUCAUAUUGUUACUCAUUUUUUUUGCUACAUGUAAUUUAGCUCAUUACGAUUUGAUUCCAAUAUUAUAUAAAUGUUCUUUUGACCCAUUGCUAGUGUUUGACCUCAAUUUUGUAUCUCCACCUAAAAUGGAGAAUUCCAUCUCCUAAGCAUGUGGCUCAUGUGAACAUAAAUAUGUAUAUCCCUAUUUUAGUUAGAAACAAAUCAAUAGCAAUUAAACAACACAAAACAACAUAUAAAGCAUAGACCAUAUCUAAAGCUCAACAAUAUUCUUUUUUAAAAUAAUGGAUAAACAUUGGAAAUCUGCCUUUUGCUUCAAUAGAAAUAGACAACAAAAGAUGAGCAGAUAAUAAAAAUGAGACACCAAACUCAAAAAAGAUAUGAACAACUUACUCAAGUAGCAAUCCUACUAGUAAAUCUCGAUCGAAAGUUGAUGAAAAUGUGCAUAGUAGUUUCUGGCAUGUAAAAGAGAGAUGUAUAGGUUUUUGUCCAUGACAGACAUUUGUAGUCGUGUCAAAAACCGAAACCUAUAUGUUACCUAAAAAGUAUCUGUAAAUAAAAUUUAGAUGAAGUUUUGUCAAAAACCAUAUCAUUUUUACUUAGUCAUAGAGUCCAACAUAAAGCAAAUACUCGCUUUUUUUUCAACCAAUACCAAACAGCCAGCUUCCACCUAUAUGAUGAGAGAAACUAGUUGGUGGUUUCAAGCCAAAGGAUACAUAUAUUACACUCCAAAGAAAUUUAGCAUAAAGCUCUACCUUCUAGAACAUGUAACUGAAUACUAACAUGUACUCCCUACGUAUUUUAAUGUAUGACGCCGUUGACUUUUUAACCAACGUUUGACCAUUCGUUUUAUUCAAAUUUUUUGUGCAAAUAUGAAAAUAUUUAUGUCAUGCUUAAAGAACAUUUGAUGAUGAAUUAAGUCACAAUAAAAUAAAUGAUAAUUACAUAAAUUUUUUGAAUAAGACGAAUAGUCAAACGUUGAAUAAAAAGUCAACGGCGUCAUACAUAUAUUUCAAUAAAGUAUCUUGAUAAUUUAAACUUAUGUAUUUGAAUUGGUAGUUUUUUGUUCACAACUUCGCGUAAGUACUAUCCUAGAGCUGUAUCACAUAUAUAUAACCAUGCUUGAAAUUGUUUUCUUUUUAUUAGUAUUAUUAUUUUGAGGGUCGGCAAGCAAAAUAGUUAGUUUGAUUUAUGUGAAACAUAUGUGGAGUGUGAAUGAAUCAAUGACACUUUUUUUAUAAUGGCAUGGAAAAGUACUACUGGUACCUAUAGUUCCAAAGGUACCGGUUCUAUAUUUUUGACCUACGGAGGUGGGCAGUUAAUAGGUGUCGGUUUUAAAUAAUCCGGUAACUAUAAGCCGAUCCCUAUUAGGGGUUUUGUAGUAGUGAUCUAGGCUCCCAGCCUCCCAUCAUAUCAAGUCAUCAUGUCCCCGUUCUGAUAGCCGGACCUUAUAAUUCCUUUAGGGAAGAGGUCGAUGGGGAAUGGGGGAAGGGUUCAAGCAGAGAAAAAGAUCCAAUUAAUGAUGUUUCACUAUCGGCUAAAAUUAAGACAUUAUAAUACAAAAAUAAUUUUAUCCUUUUAAAUUUGAUAUUGUUAUCUAUUGCCUUCGUCCCAUAAAAAAUAAAAUUAAAAAAAAUACAAGAUGUGGCAUAUCCUUGUACUGAAAAGUAUUUAAGUAGAAAGAUAAAUCAAUCUCAACUGUUGGAUCUGUUGGAUCGUUUAUAUUGGUGUUUAUAUUGGUAGUACAUACAUCCGGUUAUAUAUAUAUUCGCGGGUACAAUUUCAAUAGAAUUUUCAUAGGAUUAGAAAUUAAUUUGUUGUUGGUAUGCGCUUAUUAGUGUAUAUAUUAGGCCUCAUUUGGUAGAGCUACAAACUCUAACUCCCAAUUAUAAACUUCAACUCUAGUGGGAGCUAGCUCAUAUAGAAGUUGAGGUGGGUAAAAAGUGUUUGGCUAGAUUUACCAGCUCCAUGUCACCACGUGCCUUGUAGCCAUUUCGUUGAACACAUAGAGGGCGUCGCCGUCGCCGCACAUGUGUUUCCCUGCCAUUGCUGCCGUCGCCGCACAUGCGUUUCCCUGCUGUUGCCGCCGCCGUUUGGCUCGUGCCUGUCGACGCCACCGCUCGCCGACGCCACACGCCGCCUACCGACGCCGUCAUCCUGCUGUCCUAGCCACCGCCGCCGACGCGACCAGCCCACCACCACUACAUGUCGUCGCCGACGCAAACGUCGCUUCUCCGCCCGCGCUGCGCCACAAACUCGCCACCUCAGCCGCCGCCUGUCGACGCCGCUGCCCACGCGCAGCCCGCCGUCGUCGAGAGGAGGAUGGCCGUCAGGAGGAUGGGGAGGAAGAUGAGGAGAGAGAACGGGAAGAGAGGGGAUAUGAAUAGGUAGUUCAAUGGCAUAUCACGUAAUUACAUGAAAAUUUAAAGGGUAGUGGGUCUUUUGGAAUGAAGUGAAGCUGUGGGGCAGAAAAACCCAGCUCCACCCCCGUAGUACAAAUUUGUGGAGCAGCUCUGCUAGCUCCGCUCUAAAAAAAAUGGAGAAUCUAUACCAUUUGGUACAGCUCCAGCUCUAGGUAAGUUGGAGUUGAGAAACGCUUAGGGGUAUUCCAGCUAGCUCCACAAGAUGGUAGGCUAGAUGAUCUUGUUUGAAGCCUCACCCCUUAUUGAUAUUAAGUCAUUCCCUAAUAUUCGUGUCUUUUCUAGGUAAGUUGGAGUUAGUAGCUAGAGCUGUGUCAAACGGGUGUUUGUGUGUGGUGUAUGCGUGAGCACUUGGUCCAUUUAACAAUAAAAAAAUCAAUCAGGUGUUUCAGACUUAGUCGAGCAGACUUAGUUAGAUUGUUAUUACUAAUUAUUAUACACGUUCACACACACACGUCUUUGAGCGAUGGAGUCAAACGCAUUUGACCCACCAACCCCUAUAAUCCUGGACUGACAUCACCUCCACUGUCUCUGCAAUGCAAUGCAAACAAUCACCUAUAAAUAUACUCAAAACCAUCAUCGAUUCUUGCAAAUCAUCACCCUUCCAUCGAUCGAUCUGAUCCACCUAGUUGCAAGCUCGAUCGAUCUCUCAUCUGCUCUGCUAAUUGAUCCUAAGGCGAUCAUGGCAGCUGCCAACAGAUCGGCUCUCCUCGUCGUGGCCAUGGCGGCGGCGGUGCUCACGACGACGGCGACGGGCGCCACCACCUACACGGUAGGAGCACCGGCCGGGUCGUGGGACACGCGCACCAACUACGCGCAGUGGGUGUCCGCCGUCACCUUCCGUGUCGGCGACCAGCUUGUGUUCAAGUACUCGCCGGCGGCGCACGACGUCGUGGAGGUGACCAAGGCUGGCUACGACUCCUGCUCGAGCUCCGGCCCCGUCGCCACCUUCAACUCCGGCGAUGACACCGUGCCAUUGACAGCUACCGGCACCCGAUACUUCAUGUGCGGCUUCCCUGGCCAUUGCGCCGCCGGGAUGAAGAUCGCAGUCAAGGUCGAGGCCGCCACUGCCACCGGCGGUAGUGGCACUGCACUGUCGCCAAUGGCGCCUCGUCCGCGCACGCCUACAGCAAUGGCACCGAACGCGAUGCCACCUAUGGCUGGUGGUCGGCCUGUGUCUCCAUCGAGCUCGGCGAGCAAGUCCACUGGUGUUGCAUCUCUGGUUGGGCUUAGUUUGGGCGCCAUAGUUGCUGGCCUCAUGUCCUUCUAAAUUAGAGGAAGAAUAUUUUUUGUUCUCUCUUCAUUGGCGAUCGAUUGAUCAUGUUCAUAUGUAUUGAUUUGUUUGUGAUUAGUCCAGCUCAUAUUGUUACUUAUGUAAUUUUUGGUUACAUGUUAUUGAGCUUGCUUAUAUUUUGAUUCUUUAUUGCUAUAUAUAUAUGUUUUUGACCAUCAUCACUAUUGUUUGACUUCAAUUUUGUCUUUUCACCUAAAAUGUACACCUUAAUUAGUCAGUUGCAAUUAAACAAAAGGGGGAGAAUUCCAUUUCAAAAGCCUCUGGCUCAUAUGAACAUAAAUAUAAAUACCUAUAGCCAUAUUUUACCGAAACGGGGGAUAUGCUAGCUAAACCUUCAAAUAUCCGUACCUAUAAAUCCGAUGCCCUGGUGCUAACCAAUAAUAAAUUCUCUGUUUAGAAAAUAGGAUUAAUUAAGCAAAGAGUAUGUUUUACAUUAUACUGUGUAUAGGCCAAGGCUAUAGCCACUUUUCACUUAAUGCAACAUAUUUUACAAUUUAUUGUAAAAUUAUCCUUAUUCACGCUGUGGAUGAUGAUCCCCUAUCCACAUCAGAAGAACUAUCAACUACCCAUAGAUCUAAUGUGCUCCUCUAAAUUAAAAAAAAAGAACAUUAAAUGACUAAUAACAGCUGUAGUUAUAUGGUACAAUAUAAACAUGUGGAUGAUCGAGGAAGCUAACAUUGUAACUAUAUAUUGUGUGUUUAAACUUACGAAAUCAUUGCAUGCAUCCUGAUGAAUUACUCUGAUUUCUUUACGAAGUAUAAAAACAUAAUUUCAACACCUCAAACGUGUGUUCGCAUCGCCGUCAUGAGCAACGGAUAUUUUAGGUGGCUAUAAUUACCAUCGAACGAUCAUCAAAGGGAAGAAAAACAAGUUUGUUCAAGCUAGAUCACUGAAGGAGAGGAUGUAAAACGUACAAAAACAGAAUGAGAAUGUCAUGGAACAUAUUAGAACGCGUUGGAGUCAAUCCAAAAUUAGGGCCUCGUACAGUCGGGCACCCCACACUUGUCCACGUAGCAUAUUGUGUACUCCCUCCGUACUCGUAAAGAAAUUCGUUUUGGACAGCGACACGGUCUUCAAAACACAACUUUGACAUCUUAUUUCUAUAAAAAUAUUUAUUCAAAAGUGAUACAUGUAUAUUUUUAUGAAAGUAUUUUUCAAAACAAAUCUAUUCAUAUAAUUUUUACAUUUUCAAACUCAACAACUUGAGCAUUAUUUAUGAUUUAUAUUUCCAAUGUUUGACUUAAACAUUAUCCUAAACGAAUUCCUUUACAAGUAUGGAGGGAGUAUCAUUUAUACUCCUUUAAAAGCCUUUAGUAGUGGUGGCAGCGAAUCUACCACCCUAUUAGUGCUUUUGAAUUAUUUUUUUUACAAAUUGCCCCCAUAAUAUUUUAAAUAUUAUAGAAUAGUACAAUAUUAUGAUAUGACAUAUUAUGAAUUUUUUUUCUUCUGCCUAUAGCAAAGCUUGUAGAUGUGUGUUAGUGGAUACAUUCGUGGAUAUUUAUAUGUGGUGUGUGUAACUACGCCGAUGUUAUGCAGCUACAUUAUCUCGAGGGGGAAAAAACCUCCUAACUAUUGGUAGAUAAUCAAAUUAAGACCCCAUCUUGUUCUUAUAAAAAGACAAAAAAAAACCAUCCAGAAAGAGAAAAUUCUCAUCUAGAAGCCAGUCAGUCUACAUCCAUGCAGCUUUGAUCAUUUCAAUCAGGUGAUUCAGACCAAAGUCGAGCAGCCAACUCGACGACUAUUCUAACACACCUACCCAUCAAUUAAUUAAUUAAUUAACUACACUUUCACACGAGUCUAGUCAAACACAUAUUGACCAACCAACCCCUGCAUUGACCUCACCUCACCUCACUCAUCCCUGCCAAUCCACGCGCUUAAUUAGCUUAAUGCAUUAAAGCAAGUUUAAUAGUAUAGCUAAUUAAUAACUCUAAAUUAUAUCAAUCUAAUAAUUAAUUUAUACAAUAAUUAACUAUAAAUAUAUAAUACAUCAUUAAUAAUUGGUCCACCUGUUAUACACAUAUAACAUUUUAAAGUCUGUACUACAGCUAGUUAUAAAUCUGUAUAGUCUUCUCUUUUCUUUCGUCUCUCAUCUCUUCUAUAUGUGAUUAUAGCUGAUUUAUAAUCUGUAUUAUAUAUGUUCUUAGCUUAAGCUAAUUAAUCACCCAUCACCUAUAUAUACACAUACUUCCCAUCGUCUCCUUGCCAUCUCAUUUCUUGCAUCAUCUCCUCCCAAUUCCAAGCUCCAUCGAUCUCCUCGAUCGUCGAUCGUCGCGGCCAUGGCAGCAUCAGCCAGAGCUCUCCUCGUCGUGGCCGUGGCGGCGGCGGCGGCGGUGCUCGCGACGACGGCGAUGGGCGCCACCACCUACACGGUGGGAGCACCGGCCGGGUCGUGGGACACGCGCACCAACUACGCGCAGUGGGCGUCCGCCGCCACCUUCCGCGCCGGUGACCGGCUCGUGUUCAGGUACUCGCCGGCGGCGCACGACGUCGUGGAGGUGACCAAGGCCGGCUACGACGCCUGCUCGGCGGCGAGCCCCAUCGCCACCUUCAACUCCGGCGAUGACACCGUCCCGCUCGCCGCCGUUGGCACGCGGUACUUCAUCUGCG
rnacentral:lncRNA from 1 species